GCAGGAGGCGGCGGAGGAUGGGAAACCUCAUGGGAGGCCCCAUGAUGAUCGUGAUGGUGACUGCUGUGUCCACUGGAAACGGAGCCGAAGAAAACUGGACAGAUGAAGUUUUCCACCGGAGCAAAAGGGCUGGGUGCAUUUAGAGCAUCUCAUCUUUCACCUUUGACCCAUCCAAUAGCCAUCAUAAUGAACCAGCCGUGGUGGUAGUGGUGGUGAGCGUGGUGGACCCCAGCUGCGAUCUUGCGAACUCUGACCACCUCCUUCAUUGCCACAAAGAUGAGCUUCACUGGCAGAAAGCUGACACACUUGUAGAAGAGGUUCAUGGGACAGAAGAAUAUCAAAUACCUGGAACAAAACCACAAAGAAUGUGAGGACCAACUUGCUUGUCCUGAUUUGAGAUGUGCAGAGAGGAUUGAUGAGGUGUACUGUAGUGUUAGCCUGAAUUAUGUUGGGGAGAAGGAAGUGCUGGUUCUGUCAUGCAACCCAGAUGCAGUGAGGAAAUGAAACGUGGAGUAACUGUGGUUAAUUUGUGCACAUUUCACUAACGUGAUGAAUAAAAUGCCCCCAGAUUUCCA